CCCACACGCACCCCUCCACAUUUCAAACAGUAAUUUCCCCAUUUUUUUCAUCUGCCUAGGCGAUGUUGUAGAGGGGAGGCGAGGGCGGCAAAUCUCUACGGCAGCAAGCAGCGAUUCCCCUCCGCCGCCGAUGCGUCGCUGGCGGGAGGUCCAGUAGCCAGCGGCGAGGCAGCCACGACGACCGCUACAGCCAUGCUUGCAGCAUCAUCUCACGGAGCAACUAAUCCCAUGGUGAAAGCAGCAACUCGUGGAGCAACAAAUCCCAUGAAUGCAAGAACUAUAUGUUGUGGAAAUGGCUGAGGGGUGAGGAAAAGGUGAAGCUAAAUUUCAUAUCACCUCAGUUAGCUUAUAGCAAUUGAUUGUUUUUCAGCUAGCAGUAUAUGGUGAAAACAUUAGCGACCAGCAUACACAAGAAGACUGAAACAUAGGCUUUUCGUUAUCACACAUGGGUUGGAACCAGCACAAAAAGGUAUGGUGUACUAGAUGGUGGGAAUCAACAUGAAGAGAUGAUGGGGGAUCAAAACAAGAAGACAUAGCCAGUAGAUGGUGUAAAUCAACACGAACAGAUGGUGGGGAUCGACACGAAGAGAAAUUUUCACAUUUAUGUAUCAUCACAGAAUUGGGGGAGGCUGGGAGAAAACCCAUGUGGAGACCAACCUUUUUGCUGCCAGCUUCUCAAUUUUGCUUUUUUACCCAAAACAAUGGGCUGAAAAGGCUGUUACGUGUUUCUGAAUCAUUAAUAAAACGGGCCAUGUUUUAUCUAA